rnacentral:rRNA from 1 species
UACGUAGGGGGCAAGCGUUGUCCGGAAUCAUUGGGCGUAAAGAGCGUGCAGGCGGCUCGGUAAGUCCGCUGUGAAAGUCCAGGGCUCAACCCUGGAAUGCCGGUGGAAACUGUCGAGCUAGAGUCCGGAAGAGGCGAGUGGAAUUCCUGGUGUAGCGGUGAAAUGCGCAGAUAUCAGGAGGAACACCAAUGGCGAAGGCAGCUCGCUGGGACGGUACUGACGCUGAGACGCGAAAGCGUGGGGAGCAAACAGG